GAAAGCCCGCAAGGGUGAGUAAAGCGGCGCACGGGUGCGUAACACGUGGGUAAUCUGCCCUAGAGUCCGGAAUAACUCGCCGAAAGGCGUGCUAAUGCCGGAUGAGACCACGGGAGCCUCGGCUCCUGGGGGAAAAGGUGGCCUCUGUAUACAAGCUAUCGCUCUAGGAUGAGCCCGCGGCCCAUCAGCUCGUUGGCGGGGUAAUGGCCCACCAAGGCUACGACGGGUAGCUGGUCUGAGAGGACGAUCAGCCACACUGGAACUGAGACACGGUCCAGACUCCUACGGGAGGCAGCAGUGGGGAAUCUUGCGCAAUGGGCGAAAGCCUGACGCAGCAACGCCGCGUGUGUGAUGAAGGUCUUCGGAUCGUAAAGCACUGUCGCGAGGGACGAAUAAGGGGCGGGCUAACAUCCCGUUCCGAUGACGGUACCUCGAGAGGAAGCACCGGCUAACUCUGUGCCAGCAGCCGCGGUAAUACAGAGGGUGCAAGCGUUGUUCGGAAUUAUUGGGCGUAAAGCGCGUGUAGGCGGCCUUGCAAGUUGGGUGUGAAAGCCCUCGGCUUAACCGAGGAAGUGCGCCCAAAACUACGAGGCUUGAGUGCCGGAGAGGGUGGCGGAAUUCCCGGUGUAGAGGUGAAAUUCGUAGAUAUCGGGAGGAACACCAGUGGCGAAGGCGGCCACCUGGACGGUAACUGACGCUGAGACGCGAAAGCGUGGGGAGCAAACAGGAUUAGAUACCCUGGUAGUCCACGCUGUAAACGAUGAGCGCUAGGUGUUGUGGGUGUUGACCCCCGCAGUGCCGCAGCUAACGCAUUAAGCGCUCCGCCUGGGAAGUACGGCC
rnacentral:rRNA from 1 species